UGGGGAAUAUUGCACAAUGGAGGGAACUCUGAUGCAGCGAUGCCGCGUGAACGAAGAAGGCUUUCGAGUCGUAAAGUUCUUUUAUAUGGGAAGAUAAUGACGGUACCAUAAGAAAAAGCCCCGGCUAACUACGUGCCAGCAGCCGCGGUAAUACGUAGGGGGCUAGCGUUGUCCGGAAUCACUGGGCGUAAAGGGUUCGCAGGCGGAAAUGCAAGUCAGGUGUAAAAGGCAGUAGCUUAACUACUGUAAGCAUUUGAAACUGCAUAUCUUGAGACGAGUAGAGGUAAGUGGAAUUUUUAGUGUAGCAGUGAAAUGCGUAGAUAUUAAAAAGAAUACCGGUGGCGAAGGCGGCUUACUGGUCUCAUACUGACGCUGAGGAACGAAAGCGUGGGUAGCAAACAGG
rnacentral:rRNA from 1 species